AGUAUGCGAUUUGUGGCUUUCACACGCACAGAUCAAAGUUAUAUAACAGCCCAUCUGUCAAUCAGCAUAAGGAUAUACACCAUUCCCACCCCAGGAAAUCAACUCCUCCAGACUGAGCUCAUUAAAAGAACCGAAAAAAGAACUCCCAGCUUGAGCCACAUGUUUGCUCAAGCCUGUGCUCAUUCUGUGGAGUACUCUCGGCUUUUACUCAUACUUUUAAUAAAUCUACACUUUUACUUCUGCUCUGUAUGUCUGGUACAGUUUGUUGUUUGAACACAAAGAGCCUGGUCAUCUCAUCAUGGAACACUCUGAAACCCUGUUACUGUAGUAACAGAUUCUAGGAACAAAAGACUGUCCUGAGUGAUUAAAGUACACUGGGUGAAGGCGAGUUCGGAUGCAAGCAGGGUCGUAAAACACAAGGAAGAGCACAUAAGCCUCUGGCUUUACGUGGAAUAGCUUGUGUAGCCAUGCUGGAAUUCUGAAUAGCAAAGCAACAAUAUUCUAACAUGAUUUAAGGGGAUCACUCUGAACGUUAGAUUAAGAAUAGGCUUUGGAGGAAAAAGAGUGAGACCAAAGAGACCAUUUAGGAGGCUAAUGUUAUUGUAGGAGGAGGUAACAGAAGCGAGGAAAAAUAGCCAGACUCUACAUGUUGAAAACAAAGUUAAGAACAUGGACAAAAGAGGAGUGACCGCUGACUCCAACCAUCUGUGUGGAUUCUUCUCACUCUGUCCCUCAUUCUGUGUGAACCUAGAAGUUUUCUGCAUCAGGCCUUAGGACACAGGAAGUCCUCAAAUAAACAUUUCAUGGAUAAAGAACUAAGCACUUCCUCUUCAAGCAGAAGAGAAGACUUUGAGAGAAUUGUUUUGGGGUGAAGAUAGAGUUGGAGUUCAGCACUGGACCCAUAGAUUUACCAUAAUUCCUUCAGUGCCUAGCAGAUGGAUUUCAGGAGCUCAGUAAGGGAGGCCCUGCUACACAUUUGGGAACCACCAGCGUCCAGAAAGCAGUUAGAGUCACAAGAUGAGAAAGAAAGACAAAGGGAAAUGAGAAGCGGGUCUACACUAAGCCCCUGUGCUCCUGCAGCAUUUGGAUGUUUCAGAGAUGAAGCCUGGCAUGAUGGUAGUGACUGUAAGUCCGGUAUACAGGAAGCUGGGGGAGGAGGAUCAAGGUCAGCCUAGAAGGCGAAGCAAGUGGGCUGCAAAGCAAGAGCUUUCCUCAACAAACAACAUCCACCCACCCCCACUUCCCACCCCCACAGAUGAUACAGAGUUAAAGAAUCCUCAAAACCAAUGGAGUGAUUAGGAACAAGAUAGAGACAGGAAAAUCAAACAUGAUGUCCUGGAAGCAGAUGUUGGACUCUGUUAGUGCAGCUCAUGGACCAAAUAAGACAGAAUCUAAGAACUAACCGUUGCAUUUAUCAGUAGAGCAGGGUCCAGAGACUUUGACAGAGCAAUUCGAAGAGGGGUAGGGCAGAUCUUCUGGGUCACUGCUGUGGGAGCCAGAGAGGGAGAGUGCAAGUUACAGAAAACUCUUCCAGGAGUUUUGCUGUGAUGGAAAAGAGGGAGAAGACAGAAGAGUAGAACCAAGACAGAUGUGUUGUUUUGAUUUUGGAGACUGAUGAGGAUGGCAGAGGCUGAUGGGAAGAAUCUGAGACAACUCCAUGCAAAGCAAAGGAAGUUUGCUGGUUAGGCAAGCUUGAAUGUGCGAAAAGUAAAGAUCUAGGCCACAGUCAGAGGAGUUGGCUUUUGCUAAUUUUUUUUUUCAUAGUAACGAGAAAGCUGAGUUUAGAUAUACUUGGUUGGUAAGUGGUGGUUGAGUUGGUGGCAUUUUGUUAAAUUAUUUUCUAAUUGUUUCUGUUUUAUCAGUGAAAUAGGAAACAGCUACCAGUCUACCUUGGAGACAGUGGUUUGAAGAGUGAAGAAAGGAGUAGGUAGUAUAGGAAAGUAAAAUUGGAUCAUGAGUCUCAAGCAGUAACCUUGAGGGUUUCGACUGUUAAUUUGUAUCAUGCUCUGUGGUUCACAGAAUAUUAGGUUCUUUGAAGUUAAGUCUACCUGAAGGAAGGGAAGGCAAAAAUCAUUGGUUCCAAUUUAGAGAUCAGGGAAUUGGCAGUCUAAGAGAUGCUACCACUUGCCAAAUUUACAUAAUUGGUGCAACUUGCCCCAAAUAGUCUAACACAUGCUUAACUUAUUUCACUCUGUGCUGCCCAGGAGCUGUCAGUAGUAUAAGAACAGAAGAUUACUGAGGAUUAGACAACAGUGAUCUCAGAAUGCUUCAGACUACCCAAAAGUGCUAGAAAGGAGACAAGAUUUUCAGGUGAAGAACAACAGGAAAGCCCUUUGACACAGCCGAGUGUUGAUUCAAUCCAGUCGCAGUGUACCAGCUGCUGUCCGGGAGACACCUUGUCUGCUUUGACCUGUCAGGAAAUGAAGAAUGGAAGCAGCUUCUAGAUCACAGGGUGGUCACUGGUCACACUAUGUGAGGACUCUGAAUCUACCUCUACAGAAAGGAGGAGGAUGUGAGGGCAGGACUCUCAUUGUUCAUCAAUUCUGUCUUCCCCUGCAUGCUGACAACCAACGUACCAUACCUGGAAAUCAUAAGCAAGAGCCGUUUAACUUGGAAUUAAACAGUCUAAAACCUAGGUUUUGAAACACACUUUGCCGAGGUGGUGUGCGGAUAGGACCUGGCCUUCUCCUUUACUUGGCUCACUAUGUUGCAGCUCUUAAAUGGAUGGACCGUUUAAAUGUUCCUCGAUUCUCCACAGACCAAAUUUAAUCCACUGACUUGACCUUCAAAACAUGCAGGAGCCAGUCACAGUCAUUGUUAUUGGU
rnacentral:sRNA from 1 species